rnacentral:lncRNA from 1 species
GUCAGGGGUUCCACCACCAUCCAGGCCAGUUGGUGCAGCUUCCUGUUUCACCUUUCCUUUCUUAUGUACCCAUAUAAAAGUAAUUGUAAAGAAUAUUCUUUAAAGGGAGUGAACAGAAUAAGCAUGGAAGAUGCUAAAAAUCAAAGGACAGAUUUAUUACAUUCAAUGACAGCUUCAAGGAAGUGAUAUCUAAUACAAAUGGAUAUAAAUGUUUGUAAUGUAUAGAAAAUUUCAAUACAAACUUUUAAUCUCACAGAGGCAUCCCAAAUCAGUUUCUAAGGCCUAGUUUAUCUUGAGGCUCUUAGAAAUUGACCCCACCUUAUGAUGGAGCACAACCAGUGUCAGAGUUUCUCCUGUAACCCUCCUCAUUCCCCACAACACUUUUCUUAAGGCACACUAUCCACUUGCCUCUCUUGAUUGGAAACAUUGAAGCAUGGUACUGAUGGAGUGAAGGGCUAGUCAUGUGAUAGAGCUGCAGAGAGAACUCAGUCUUUCUGAAUUUUCUGCUCAGGCAUUCAGACUACUAUUUUACCAAGACAGUUAAAAUCUAAGAAGAUAAGAUUCCAUUGUCUUUGUCACUUCCAGAAGGCAAGUCGAGCCCUGAAGAGGCAGGUCCUAGAAAGAAAUGCAGCUAGCUGCUGGAUGCUGGAUGCUGGAUGCUGGAUGCUGGAUGCUGGAUGCUGGAUGCUGGAUGCUGGAUGCAGGAUCUCCUCUUCACUUGCUGUCCUCCAAGGACCCUGACUAGGCAUACUCCACUAUAUAACCUCACAGGCCUGUUGGCUUUGGAGCAUGAACAAGAGUCUGAAUUACAAUCUCCUGAUGCCUCUGAUAUGAAGAGUCCAUAGGAGUCUCAUAUGCUAAGGUCUCUGCCCUAUGGAGGGAGUUCUGAAACUUUGGAGACACUUCUACUUUGCUACUGGAUAAAAAUUGCCCUGGAGUCCUGCACAAUCCUCAUAUUUACCACUGAGAACACAGGAACCCAUUACUCAGCCCAGGUAUCUCACUGUUCUACUCCAACACAAAAGUGGGUGGCCUCAAUAGCAGGAAUGUUUUUCUCACUGUUCUCACAGUCUGUUCUGAGGUCUGUGGCCCCGAUGAGGCCCCUGUCUCCAGCCUACAGAUGACUGCCUUGUCAUUGUGUCCUCAUAUGCAAGAAAAGAAUCUCUGAUUUCCUUUCCUUUUCUGCAGGAGCACCAAUCCCGAGUUCUGACCUCAUGACCUCAGUGACACCUAAUUGUCUCCCAAAGGCUCUCUAAAUACUGCCACACCAGAGGUAGGACAUCUACACUUGAAUUUUUGGAGGACUCUCAGUCCCUAGCAGGUCCAUUUCUAAUUCCUCAAGAACAGCCUCGAAAGCACUUUCAGUGGUAAGCAAUUAUUUCAUUCACACCGGUCAUCUCCAUCUCUUAAAGACAGAAUUGUCCCACUGGUAUCUAGGCUUAUGCAAAAAUGGCUCUCAGAAUACAUCUGCAGGAAAGAAUAUAAAAGCAGAAACCAAU